rnacentral:rRNA from 1 species
AUUGAACGCUGGCGGCAGGCCUAACACAUGCAAGUCGGACGGUAGCACAGAGGAGCUUGCUCCUCGGGUGACGAGUGGCGGACAGGUGAGUAAUGUCUGGGGAUCUGCCCGAUAGAGGGGGAUAACCACUGGAAACGGUGGCUAAUACCGCAUAACGUCGCAAGACCAAAGAGGGGGACCUUCGGGCCUCACACUAUCGGAUGAACCCAGAUGGGAUUAGCUAGUAGGCGGGGUAACGGCCCACCUAGGCGACGAUCCCUAGCUGGUCUGAGAGGAUGACCAGCCACACUGGAACUGAGACACGGUCCAGACUCCUACGGGAGGCAGCAGUGGGGAAUAUUGCACAAUGGGCGCAAGCCUGAUGCAGCCAUGCCGCGUGUAUGAAGAAGGCCUUCGGGUUGUAAAGUACUUUCAGCGGGGAGGAAGGCGAUGUGGUUAAUAACCGCAUUGAUUGACGUUACCCGCAGAAGAAGCACCGGCUAACUCCGUGCCAGCAGCCGCGGUAA